CUCCGUGAUUGGUCAAACGCCCACCGCGUGCUCUACGGGCAUGCGCAGUUCUCUCACUUACAUCCGCAACAAACCAAGCAUGGUUAGUGUUAUUGCAAGUUUGAUUAAUGUUUCGUCUCGUAAAUAGCCGUAUUUACUCCUCAUUUUUGGACAACAAUGACAAGGACAAAGGCGACUGGGAGUCUGAUGAUGACUGGGAUGCCUUUGAUGAUGAAAAAGACGAUCGAGUGCACGAACUGGGAACAGAUUCAGCAGUGGAGAAGACCAAUGCGAUUUUUACCGCGGACGUAUCUCCCAAUUCUGGCUAUGAAAAGACCAAUAAUCUUUGCAUCAGCAAGGAAAGACUAACAGGCUUACUGAAAUGGUACUCCAAUGGGACAGGACAGGAGGGAGAAAGAGAUCCCUUCAGCUGGACAACAUCAAAGGAGAGGUGACAUUCAUCCAACAACAAGGUUCACAAAAUGCCCUAGUGCUCACUGGACAUGUCCCUGGAUUUAAACGUGAUGAUCUACAGCCCCUGCCUUCAGUUCACACUGCCACCAAGGUCAACCAAAGCUACAAAGAUGUUCUUCUUGGGACAGAGAAGAACUAUUGGACCAUCAAGCACCAACAAGAGUGGAGACUUGAAGAAAGCGACGCAUAUCUGAAUCUUACACUGACUCUGAGAGUGCCCAUAGACAGGUUGUGGGCGUGGAGAUGAACUUUUAAAUCUGUAAAUAUGUGGCAAGUACACAAGAGAAUACGUGAGUAAUGUGUGUGUGUGUGUGUGUGUG